rnacentral:sRNA from 11 species
AUAACGUGAUGGGAAGCGCCUCGCUUCCCGUGUAUGAUUGAACCCGCAUGGCUCCCGAAACAUUGAGGGAAGCGUUGAGGGUUCAUUUUUAU